CCAGGAACUGGGGGACGGAAGCCAAAUACGCAGUUCUCAUUAUGUCCUCUCCCCAGCAGAGCUUCCAGAUGGACAACGGCAAGCUGCUUUACCAGCGGCUUUCAGAGUCACCAUGGCAGCUAUUUGGUAAAGUUCCCUGCAAACUGCAGAAACCGAGUCCGAGAGUGGAUUGAUGGGGCACUAAGCCAUCCUGAAAAGUCAUCAAAGACCAUCAGCAUCAGACACUGCCCAGAGCCAGGGAGGUGGCCACAGUCGGAAGACAAACGCCCUGCACCCGGCACUGAAGCCCUGCUCAUGGUCUCCACUCAAUCCGCGCGGGGCUGCGGCGCCUCAUCUGGUACUUACUUGCUCAGAGAACAUAAAUUGUUGUGUUUUUUUUUUUUUUUUUUUUUUUUACUUUUAAUCUUUACCCAGAGAAACACCGCGGCUUACCUUUCCAUCUCAUAUUCUUUCAUUCCCACUUUUACGGCCUUCAUUACCUGGAGGAUGGAUAUUAAGCAAAGACAUUUGUAUUAAGCAGAUAAGUAACACUGCCUUAUAAAUAAUGUAUAGCUCUUUUUCAAAAGAAAUCUCUUCUUAAAAAAAAAAAAAGAAAAAAUGAUAUGUGCACACAGUGGUGCAGACAUGUGACGAAUUAGAACUUUUUUAAAGCUCCAAGAGCCAUACCGUUUAUUUAAACCACUGUGGGGCGCUUCCAUUUGGGAGCCCGUGAGCACCCGGCACCAAGCUACAUGGCUCAGGUGGCGGCAGACGGAUGGCGGCCAAGAUUUAACCAAGAUGUCUGGUGAAUACUUAAUGCUCAGACAGCGAUCCUAUCCUCAAAGGUUUCCUUUGUUGAGCUGUCAUAAAACACACACAAAACGAACUCAUGCAAGAGACUGUGGCCCACCAAUGACCCUUAUCUGUCUCGUGAUGCAAAGCUGUGGCCGUCACUAAGCAGGCGCCAGGCUCUCCCAGUCACCCUGAACGUCCUAUGAGAAAUACGCUUCCUUAUUUGCUCUUGCUCCUCAGGUGAAGUGGGAAGGUUGGGAAAGAGCCACGCGAGGGAGGCUGUUUUUGGAAAACAGAGGACGGUAAUCAAUGUCUUUGAAUCACGGGUAAGGGUGGGAGAUCCUUUAAAAGGAGCAGGAACUGCAGGAGUGCCAGGACGGAGACCCCUACCCGCCUGGAAGUGAGGACUUCUUGCUGGGAAAUAUUCAGAGGGUGGGGUGGGUGUCUUAAGGUGAGGAACUGGGGCAGAGGUCCUGCUGUCCCUGUCCUGCGCCCAUCGGGGAAGAGAAAAGAGCCACCACUGGGUCUCUGCCAGAAGCGACACCUGCUACCCGUUCACAUGGCACAGGGGACAGGGCCACCCCGGGACCAUCCAUCUCAGUAAGGCCCUCUCGCCCCACUCAGAGCCAUGCUGCUUGCCCACCCGCGCUACAAGGGCGCUCCGAGGAGCCUGUGCCCCGCUUACCUCCCGGUGCGCCUCACUGGAGAUUCUGUUGGUGUAACGCAAAACCUCCAGCUCCAUGUCCGUCUUAAAGACCCGGCUUCAGAGAGAACAAAGUGGCAAAGUCAGUGAUGCCCAGCAGGGACUGGCUGGACCGCCCCACCCCCACCCCUGGCCGACCUCCGGGAGACUUUGGGAUGCACCACACCUUGCACAGCCUGGGGAGGAGCACAGAGCCAGCCUGUGCCCAGCCAGGCUGCAGAAGGGCCACUGGGGUGUGGGGGUGGCGGCAGGACGGGCCACCGCGCCCCAGCAGUGACACACUGCACUCAGCACUGCCCAUCCUGAUCUAACGCCAGACUUGGGUGUGCAGGCUGGUUCUAGUUAUAAGAUCUGGAAACCACUGUGCGUGGUCGAAGAAACCCAGAUUCUGCAGCCAGACAUCUUGCCUCACUGAGACUCCAUUUCCCCAUCCACAACAUGGGGAUAGAAUCUACCUGGCAAGGCUGCCGGACCUGAAUCACAUGUGCAGACUCCCAGGGCUCUGCCCAGGUAGCUGAAGAGGUCACCUGGUCUACCAGCAGGUCUACCCACCCACCUGCCCUUGGGGCAGCCCAGGAAUAUAUCUCCCGGCCCCGUCAGGCCCCCUAUGGACCCAGGGGUUGGAGGUGGGGUGGGAACAGCCACUUCCAGCCAGGAGUACAGCUAAGAAUGUGGAAACGGCAGGUGUACAGAGAGGAGGAGACAAGAGAGGGGAGCUGUGCGGGGCAGGCAGGUGCAACCAAGAGGCCCUGCUGUCCUUCCCAGACUCAGCUCUGCCUCUAGCAACUAGAUUCCCAGGGGUCCUGGGGCCCGCUCAAUAAAUUCAUGUUAAAUUGUCCAAAUUUGGUUAGGUCCCUGGUCUUUGCAAUCAACCUCAUUGCCAAGUAAGACUCAGCUAGAGAAGCCACGUAAAUAUUUGUUUUCAGCCUCCGCUUCAGAUAAGCAACUCCAGGCCAUGGGCAUUUCAGCGGCAGCCCAGCGUCCCCAGUGCAUGCCCCCUGGCCAGCUCCACCUCCUUUACACAGGGUGACACACCUCCACUACCUCUCCCUCUCACGCAGAAAACACACUCCAGCACCCCGCAGACGAGCAGGGCCAGAGUGUCUGACGAUGGUAGACCAGUGCCCGCCCCUCCGUUCAGUGUGUCCCUCGUCCAGCCGCUGUCAGCAGGGCCCUGAAGCCUGACCAAGGCCAAGGAUGGCAGCGGAGGUGCUCCCACCUCCAUCAGAGGCAGCGAACCUCUGGGGACGUCACAGAAGCAGCCCAAGCCAGCCAGUGACUCACACUGUCUCCAUGGUGCCAUCCAGCUGGGACAGCCAGCCAUCUGUCACGGGGAAGUGACGAAGGCAUCUUGCAGCACCGUGACGCCCUCCUAAGACCGUAAAACCUUCUGGGGAAUGUGGAAAAGAUAAGCCCCUCAGCCCGGGAAAACCUGCUCUCCGUAAACGAGGGGCCAGCCUGCCAUUCCACCCAGAACCCAUCCUUCACUUAGAGCAGUGAUCGUGACCACCAUGGAUCUCACUCGAGAACGACUGCAGUCACUACAGAGGCGAGCACCCACACUAUUAAAACACACCCUUGAGGCAGUAAGGACAAUGUGACAUUUCUAAAAUAGUUCUACUGCCAUCAAAUGCCAAAUAAGUCCUUUCUGCUGCUGGCUUUGAUAAAGUUGGGGGGUAUUCUUUUGAAUGUGGAAUCCACCUCAGAGCCUUGGAA